rnacentral:rRNA from 1 species
GACGAACGCUGGCGGCGUGCUUAACACAUGCAAGUCGAACGGUGAAGCGCCUUCCUUUUUGGUGGGUGUGGAUGAGUGGCGAACGGGUGAGUAACACGUGAGUAACCUGCCCCCUUCUUCUGGAUAACCGCAUGAAAGUGUGGCUAAUACGGGAUAUUCUGGGUCUGUCGCAUGAUGGGUCUGGGAAAGAUAUUGUUUCGGUGGGGGAUGGGCUCGCGGCCUAUCAGCUUGUUGGUGGGGUGAUGGCCUACCAAGGCGGUGACGGGUAGCCGGCCUGAGAGGGUGGACGGUCACACUGGGACUGAGACACGGCCCAGACUCCUACGGGAGGCAGCAGUGGGGAAUAUUGCACAGUGGGCGCAAGCCUGAUGCAGCGACGCCGCGUGAGGGAUGGAGGCCCUCGGGUUGUGAACCUCUUUCGCCAGUGAAGCAGGCCUGCCUCGUUUGUGGGUGGGUUGACGGUAGCUGGAUAAGAAGCGCCGGCUAACUACGUG